UAAUUGUUUGGUUCUUCUUAACCCACAUUUAGCACAUCUAUUUAGCACCUUUAAUGCCAAAGCACUGGCAGCUGCCAGGUCCAUCGCAGAGACAGAGAAGUAAGAACACAGAAGUGGCUUUGAUCCUGCAAAAUUCUGAAUACUCUGGCCUGAUCCAGUAAAGUAUUUAAGCCUAUGCUUGAAGUUAAGUAUGUGUGUAGUCCUAUUAAAGUCAAUAAAACAUUGAGCAUGUGUUGAAGUGUUUUGCUAGAUCGGGCCAGAGUGCUUAGUACCUUGCAGGCUCAAGCCCACUUACAGCAUCUGUGAAGGGUGGGGCUUUAAAGUUAGUUUCUUUUACUGCAGUCCAGGAGGUAGGAUCACCUUUGUUUCCUGUAAUUUACAACCUGGUCUGUUACAGUAAGUGCUGCAGCAGUCAGAAGGAAUGGAUUUGAAGCUAGUCACUCUCUUUGCUGCUCUUGCAUUUGUGGUUGUCCAAACAUCUGAGGGGGGAUGAUUCCUGUGACUGGGUUCACAAGUCCAGAGCAAAUAUUUUCAAAGUUACAAAGCAAAAUCAACUCUCUUUCCGGUAUCCUUUAACUGUUGCACGGAAGUAUCGCACCUUGUGCCCAGAAGACU